AUGUUCCCAUGGGCUCUGGGCCUCCAGCUGGACUCAUGCAGGACUUGCUCAGAUGGAUUCCUUGAGUCUCUAGUGUGUGGACAGAUAUCUUCUACUCUUCUGCAUUUGACUUUUUGGCUACAUUUUAAAGUGGUGCCUAAACAGACCAUUCUAAAAAGAAACCCCGGGUAAGUGUAUGUAUUUACUAGAUUUAGUAAUUAUAUCCUUAUAAAUGAUAAUCUCAUGUUCUUAUCUUUGUUACAGGUAUGCUGUGAAGAGGAAUCACUCUGAACAUUCGAAAUAUUAUACUUAAGAAAAGUGUCUUAAGUGAGGAACUCUCUAAUUUAGGCAAUAAAACUUUCACAAAAUUCUGGAAAAAUAUUUUCUAAAGCAAUAAAUCUGGCAUAGUUGGCAGAAAAUGUGGUUAUAUACCUAGAAAAAAAAGAAUAAAAAAUGAAGCUUUAGAAAUGAUUGAGCUAGGGCCAGGGAUAUAGCUCAGUAGCACAGCGCCUGCCUGGCAAGCACAAGGUCAUGAGCUCGAUUCCCCGUACCAAAAAGAAAAAAAAAAGAAAUGAUUGGGCUUAGCAAGGGGGCUGAGGGUAUGUCUCAGUGACAGCACAUUUACCUAGAGUGUGCCAGGCCCUGGGUUUGCUUCCUAGUCUACACACUCACACACACACAGAAGCAUACAUACACACAUGCACACAAACACAUGCACACAUUCCUCACAAAGUUUAGCAAUGUUGUCUGUGGGAUCAACCUACUAAAAUUAAUAAAAAUUCUUUGUCAGAAAACACCUAACAAGAAAUUUAAAAAUAAGAACUUUCCCUCAUAAUAGCAACAAAAUCUAUAAAAUGUGCA
rnacentral:lncRNA from 1 species